ACCCGCUGAACUUAAGCAUAUCAAUAAGCGGAGGAAAAGAAACCAACAGGGAUUGCCCUAGUAACGGCGAGUGAAGCGGCAACAGCUCAAAUUUGAAAUCUGGCCUUCGGGUCCGAGUUGUAAUUUGUAGAGGAUGCUUUUGGGCAACCACCGGUCUAAGUUCCUUGGAACAGGACGUCAUAGAGGGUGAGAAUCCCGUAUGUGACCGGCUUAGGUACCCUAUGUAAAGCUCUUUCGACGAGUCGAGUUGUCUGGGAAUGCAGCUCUAAAUGGGAGGUAAAUUUCUUCUAAAGCUAAAUACCGGCGAGAGACCGAUAGCGCACAAGUAGAGUGAUCGAAAGAUGAAAAGCACUUUGGAAAGAGAGUUAAAAAGCACGUGAAAUUGUUGAAAGGGAAGCGCUUGCAAUCAGACUUGUCCUUGAAUGUUCCGCCGGUCUUCUGACCGGUUUACUCAUACUUGGACAGGCCAGCAUCACUUUCGGCGGCCGGAUAAAGGCUCUGGGAAUGUAGCUCACCCUUCGGGGGGAGUGUUAUAGCCCAGUGUGUAAUACGGCCAGCUGGGAGUGAGGUCCGCGCUUCGGCUAGGAUGCUGGCGUAAUGGUUGUAAGCGGCCCGUCUUGAAACACGG
rnacentral:rRNA from 1 species